rnacentral:tRNA from 1 species
UCCCCGGUGAUCCAGUGGUUAGGACUUGGCAUUUUCAGUGCUAAGGGCCAGGUUCAAUCCCUGAUUGGGGAA